rnacentral:rRNA from 1 species
CUACGGGCCGCUGCAGUGGGGAAUAUUGCACAAUGGGCGCAAGCCUGAUGCAGCCAUGCCGCGUGUAUGAAGAAGGCCUUCGGGUUGUAAAGUACUUUCAGCGGGGAGGAAGGGAGUAAAGUUAAUACCUUUGCUCAUUGACGUUACCCGCAGAAGAAGCACCGGCUAACUCCGUGCCAGCAGCCGCGGUAAUACGGAGGGUGCAAGCGUUAAUCGGAAUUACUGGGCGUAAAGCGCACGCAGGCGGUUUGUUAAGUCAGAUGUGAAAUCCCCGGGCUCAACCUGGGAACUGCAUCUGAUACUGGCAAGCUUGAGUCUCGUAGAGGGGGGUAGAAUUCCAGGUGUAGCGGUGAAAUGUGUAGAGAUCUGGAGGAAUACCGGUGGCGAAGGCGGCCCCCUGGACGAAGACUGACGCUCAGGUGCGAAAGCGUGGGGAGCAAACAGGAUUAGAUACCCGUGUAGUC